AAGAUACUCUGGUGUCUGUUUGAGGAUUUAUAUUCCUAAAAACAUUUUUCAAAAUGGUAUGGGUUGUUUUCAGCCGGUCCCUAGUGUGGUAUAUUCAACAUUGACACGGUGUUUCUUCUUUUGUGAAAUUACUCUUAUGUAUUGUCAAAUGUUAUUUCUAUCGUAACAUUAAACAGCAUGUAUUAAUAGGAACCACAGAAGCGGAACUAAUUAGUUUAAGUGGUGUUGCGCCCAGUUUCCGCUAGGGGAGGGGCUCCGCCCUCCCCUCCAGAGAAGAUUUGGGAAGCAAAGACUCUCAGAGAAACGCUGCUGUCUCCAUUCCAAUUAAUGUACAUCUGUAUUUACCAGCCCAAUCGUCCACCCUGGCUGUAGUUGUGUGAAAAGGUGAAUGAUGAUCGGGGACGUCUAUCAGGGACAGCUGGCCCUCGUCACAUUCAUCUCGGCAGGACCUCCAAAUGUUACAGCCUGAAAAGGGUGAUAUCAAUGAAGACUCUUGGACACGAUGCAUCCCUUCUGGCAGCUGGACUGAGAACCUGUAUUAUUUUCUAAAUGAUUUACAUAGUUACAAAAGUUCUUUCAAUAGAUACAAGACAAAAUUGGAACAAUAAUAAGCAUAUCCUUUACAUUCCAAAGUCAACUUGCUAAUCUAAUUUUCUUCCAGUAGUCUUUUACAAGUAAAUAAACAAUCAAUUGUAAUUUCUUACUCUUUUCUUAAACAGGUAAAAUCAAAUGUGACAGUAUUUAUGAAGAUGAUCUAUUAGUCAAUAUACAAAGUUAAAUUAUAAAACAUAUGUACUGGGGACAACCAAAGAUAUAUUGUAAAACAUUAGUAGUCAUUUGUCUCCUCUAUUACUUGUUACCUACAAUGGUUAAUUCAGAAAUGAACACACAAUCACAAUAGUCAUUAAUCAAACACAUAAACAGUGUCAAUAUUAACCACAAACAUUGAUAACCUCAUACUCCGUAUGUCUUACUGAGCUAAACACUAUCAAAAUGCAUACAACACGUGUUAGUCUCAUGCCGUUUGUACAGAGUUUAGCUAGGUGUGUUACCGUAUCAGCUAACAAUCGAGAAUACAAAUAUUGUGCUUUUAGACACUCAACAUUUGGUUGGUAUGUUAAUAAAACACAAACAAAACAAUUUAUUAAACAUAUUCCAAAGUUCAAAAGCACAAAUACUCAUUUUGUACCUGAAAAGGGGAGAUAUCAAUGAAGACUUGGACACGAUCCAUCCCUUCUGGCAGCUGCAUUGAGAAUGAGGCAUCAUGAUCGAAAGCUCAAGACUCCCCCUACCAGCCUCUGCAGGCAUGACUAAUCAAUCACAGCUCUCAAACGGCACAACAAGUCGAUCAUAGAUUAACAUUGUAUAUAAAUGAAUUUAAAUUUUUUCCCUUUUACUGUUUUUAAUACCUAUUGAACUUAUUGAUCAGCAUCCUAAA